AAAAAGGGUUAUGAAUUAACAGGCUGGAAGAGUAAACAAGAUUAGAGCUAAGUGCUUUUUGGGGCUGUGUAAAAAAUAAUCACAGGCUAAUUGCAAAGGAGUGGGUGAGGCAAGCCCAUAAAUUAGCAGGGGUGAGAGUGGAAAAUGGAGAGGCCAGGUAGUAGGGUGGUCAGGUAAAACAAGCAGUGAAGGACAGAGGGCGAAAGAGACGGUGCUGAAGGGUCCAACAAGCAGGAAAGAUAUCAAACAUCCUUCCACAGUCCUCAGACAGUUUGAGGAGCAGUGACUUUCAUAAAGCUCUCUAUAGUGCAAACUGGAGAGCCAAUGACAAAAGGGUUUCCCAAGCACUUACACAGUACUAGCAGCUCAGGAACAGUACGCCUACCUACUGCACCUUCCAAUUUAACCCAGAAACUUGUCCAAAAUGCCUUGCAAUUCUUCAAGAGAAAAUGAAAUUGUCUUACACUACCUGAAGAAAUAGAAGAAAAGCAGCAGGAGCAGGUAACUGAUAUUUGAAGGGAUGUUAUAGAUACUGUUAUUGCAAAUGCUUGAAAUCAAGUAUUGAAAUAAAUAUACUUUCCUCAGAA
rnacentral:lncRNA from 1 species